rnacentral:rRNA from 1 species
UACGUAGGGAGCAAGCGUUGUUCGGAUUCAUUGGGCGUAAAGCGCGCGCAGGCGGCCCGGUAAGUCGGAUGUGAAAUCCCACGGCUCAACCGUGGAACUGCAUUCGAUACUGUCGGGCUAGAGGCAGGUAGGGGAGAUCGGAAUUCCUGGUGUAGCGGUGAAAUGCGCAGAUAUCAGGAGGAACACCGGUGGCGAAGGCGGAUCUCUGGGCCUUACCUGACGCUCAGGUGCGAAAGCUAGGGGAGCGAACAGG